rnacentral:lncRNA from 1 species
AUGCCCUCUCAUGCCAUCCCACGCCACCUCGCAAGCCAGGGACCCGUGAGUGAGGGUUCCGCCUGCAGACUCGGAACCAGCCGGAGCCUGAUGGGACGGGCCCGGUCCUUCCUUCUCGGUGGCCUGAGAAGAUGCGCCAUGGUGGCCCCGUCCACCCGGGCGCUCUUGUUCAUAUCAGGGGAAGAGUCAUCGGCUCUGGCGCUCCGUGGCACUCCGUGCCCCUCUCACUGGGCCAGAGGAAGCCCCUCGUCCGCCCAGGACGCACAGCCCGGGUUGGCUGCCUCUCCAGUUGCUGAACCCGUCAUCACUCUCAUCCAUAAAAGCUGCUCUGGGACGCAGGCGUCUUGGGCCUGCAGAUGCUUUCGUAUUUUCCCAGAAAUUGGCCGAAUGCCUCUCGCCCUGGCUGUUGCGCUUUGCUUCCAGCCGGGAGGCUGCAGGGCUGCCCGCACCAGGAGGGAGGGGACUGUCAGAGCAACGGCGGCCAAACCACAACCGCGCCCUGAACGCCCGCGUCUCGGUGCUCCAAGUUCCCAGGGAGGGCAUUCGAGGGGUGAAGGAGAUGCGAGAAACACGCACAUGCACACACACAACCAUACAUGCAUGUACAUGCACACACACACCUACACACAUACACAAUCAUACAUGCAUGUACAUGCACACACCUACACACAUGCACACACAAUCAUACAUGCAUGUACAUACACACAUACACACAUACAACCAUACAUGCAUGUACAUGCGCACACACCUAUACACCUACAUAUACACACAUACAAAAUCAUACAUGUAUGUACAUGCACACACCUAUACACCUACAUAUACACACAUACACAACCAUACAUGUAUGUACAUGCACACAUGCACACAUGCAAUCAUACAUGUAUGCACUUGCACACACAUACACAAUCAUACAUGUAUGCACUUGCACACACAUACACAAUCAUACAUGUAUGCACUUGCACACACAUACACAAUCAUACAUGUAUGCACUUGCAUGCAUAG